rnacentral:rRNA from 1 species
AUUGAACGCUGGCGGCAUGCCUUACACAUGCAAGUCGAACGGCAGCGGGGGAGAAGCUUGCUUUUCCUGCCGGCGAGUGGCGAACGGGUGAGUAAUACAUCGGAACGUGCCCUGUAGUGGGGGAUAACUAGUCGAAAGAUUAGCUAAUACCGCAUACGACCUGAGGGUGAAAGUGGGGGACCGCAAGGCCUCAUGCUAUAGGAGCGGCCGAUGUCUGAUUAGCUAGUUGGUGGGGUAAAGGACUACCAAGGCGACGAUCAGUAGCUGGGCUGAGAGGACGAGCAGCCACACUGGGACUGAGACACGGACCAGACUCCUACGGGAGGCAGCAGUGGGGAAUGUUGGACAAUGGGCGAAAGCCUGAUUCAGCAAUGCCGCGUGUGUGAAGAAGGCCUUCGGGUUGUAAAGCACUUUUGUCCGGAAAGAAAUGGCUCUGGUUAAUACCUGGGGUCGAUGACGGUACCGGAAGAAUAAGGACCGGCUAACUACGUGCCAGCCGCCGCAGUAA